rnacentral:tRNA from 1 species
GCCCUCGUAGCUCAAUGGACAGAGCAAGACGCUUCUAUCGUCGAGGUUGGAGGUCCGAAUCCUUCCGAGGGACACCG